GCUUCGCACUUGAUUGAUUCAACUUGGUGACGAGUGGCGAACUGGUGAGUAACACGUGGGUAACCUGCCCCGAAGCGGGGGAUAACAUUUGGAAACAGGUGCUAAUACCGCAUAACAACCAAAACCACCUGGUUUUGGUUUGAAAGACGGCUUCGGCUGUCACUUUGGGAUGGACCCGCGGCGUAUUAGCUGGUUGGUGAGGUAACGGCUCACCAAGGCGAUGAUACGUAGCCAACCUGAGAGGGUAAUCGGCCACAUUGGGACUGAGACACGGCCCAAACUCCUACGGGAGGCAGCAGUAGGGAAUCUUCCACAAUGGACGCAAGUCUGAUGGAGCAACGCCGCGUGAGUGAUGAAGGGUUUCGGCUCGUAAAACUCUGUUGUUGGAGAAGAACGGGUGUCAGAGUAACUGUUGACAUCGUGACGGUAUCCAACCAGAAAGCCACGGCUAACUACGUGCCAGCAGCCGCGGUAAUACGUAGGUGGCAAGCGUUGUCCGGAUUUAUUGGGCGUAAAGCGAGCGCAGGCGGUUUUUUAGGUCUGAUGUGAAAGCCUUCGGCUUAACCGGAGAAGUGCAUCGGAAACCGGGAGACUUGAGUGCAGAAGAGGACAGUGGAACUCCAUGUGUAGCGGUGAAAUGCGUAGAUAUAUGGAAGAACACCAGUGGCGAAGGCGGCUGUCUGGUCUGCAACUGACGCUGAGGCUCGAAAGCAUGGGUAGCGAACAGGAUUAGAUACCCUGGUAGUCCAUGCCGUAAACGAUGAGUGCUAAGUGUUGGAGGGUUUCCGCCCUUCAGUGCUGCAGCUAACGCAUUAAGCACUCCGCCUGGGGAGUACGACCGCAAGGUUGAAACUCAGAGGAAUUGACGGGGGCCCGCACAACCGGUGGAGCAUGUGGUUUAAUUCGAUGCUACGCGAAAAACCUUACCAGGUGUUUACAUCUUCUGCUAACCCACAAAAAUAAAGCGUUUCCCUUCGGAGACAGAA
rnacentral:rRNA from 1 species